CGCAAAGAUCCAUUCCUGCGCGCGGCAGGGGAGAGGACGUUGCACGAAAUCGGCGAGGCCACAUCCCAGCCUGGGCUUGGCCUCCCCAAGGUGCUGCGGUGCUCAGUCCGUGCUCAGACAAUCGUUGCUGUGAAUCGCUGCAGCUCUCCUCCUCCGUCAAAACACGGGUGGGAAUGGAUUCGCAGCAGGGACUCUGAAGGCCCCAGCGGAUUGCACUCGCGGCCCAUCAGCUUUUGACAUAAUGGGACAUCAGGACAGUCCCAGGUCCCCACCCCGAGUCAUCUCUGAUACAGGAAUGAUGUUCACAUCUACCAUUUGUGUUAACAUUGUUAAAUUGCUUUCAGAUUUUGAAGUAUUCUGUCGAAAAAGGGAGCUUAUCACUACCACGUCCCUCCUCUCUGUGAUUGUUGAACUAAUCCAGAGUGCAAAAAAAAGCCAGUCACCUUGGGGACCAGUCCUUCUCUCUCCAUCAAUGGUGGUUAAUCUGUAUUGAAAAAGAAAGUGAACCAUUUUGGGCAGCUACAAGAAUGACCUGAUGUCUGCUCCUUUGCUGGCUUCCUGCAGAUUCCCUUACUAAUUACACAGGCUGAGGUAAUCGACUCUGGUGAUUCUCGUCUAUAAAAAUGGAACAUUACCAAUCUUGUAUGGUUGCUGGGGAAAAAAUACUGUAUGUAAAGUGCUUAGUUUUAUGCGGACACAUGAUAGCUUCAUGAAAUAUGAAUCCUCUUCUCUUUUUCCUAUCAUCACAGCACCCUGUUGCAUCAGUUACCAACUGGUGUAGAUUUUUUAGCACCUUGCUGCUAUCUAGGCUGCACAUAACUGAGGGAAGAUUGUGAAGGCACAAAUGUUAUGAGAUCUUUAGACAAGCAAUUAUCUAAUCUUUAUUUGGAAGUAUUCUUCAAUUUUAAAUGCUAGCCAGUUUUCCCAUUUGGUAUGAAGAUUUUCUGCUCUCCACUCCUCCUCCCACUACCAACAAAAACACCCCAGGAUACCAGGCUGAAGAUCUAGAAUUUAGAGUGGAUCCUUUUCAUUUGGAGCCAUAUGGAGUUUAAUAGCACACCUCGCAUGGGUGCACUAUUCUGUGAUAAGUUUGUGAGCACUGGCAAACUCAAGCCAGUGGCCUUCAGGUGGAGCUGCGAGAAAGCUAAGAAAGGAAAAACCAGGUUGGUACCCCAAGGAAAUACGAAGCCUGAGAAAGACACGAUGAAACACAAUGAUGGUGCAGAUCCUGGGGGAUUUUCUAAAAAGAAAAGCGACAUGUGAACUGAUUCAGCCAGUUUGAAGAGACUGCCAGUGUGCUCAGCCAGCCAGGGUGGGACUCAAGAGAAAUGAGACAUGGUCUUCAAGGAAAUGACAGUCUUUGGGAGUGACUGCCCACAGACAUGGAGAAAGAAAAGCAAAACAUCGUGUAAUUCAGGGGUAAAACUGUACUUCAGGUAAAAACGUGGUCUCUGAAGUGAGAGAAAAAGCUAUUAUCUUUUUGUGUAUCCUGCUAUAUCCCAGGAACUAAAUUAGAUGGUUAAAUAAAUUAUCUCAUUUAAUUUAAUCCUAAAAACAAAUCUUUGACAUGAGCCUGUUUUGAUGGUGAGAAAAUUGGAGCACAAAGAUUAAACACAUUGUCCACGAUCCAACAGCAAGUGGGCUAUAGGAUUUAAAGUUAAAUCUGUCUGAAUCUAACAUUUGUCCCAGGGCCUAAAGCCUCUUGCCAUCCACAUGAAUAAAUCCUCCCA
rnacentral:lncRNA from 1 species